rnacentral:rRNA from 1 species
GACGAACGCUGGCGGCGUGCCUAAUACAUGCAAGUCGAACGCUGAAGGAGGAGCUUGCUUCUCUGGAUGAGUUGCGAACGGGUGAGUAACGCGUAGGUAACCUGCCUGGUAGCGGGGGAUAACUAUUGGAAACGAUAGCUAAUACCGCAUAAGAGUAGAUGUUGCAUGACAUUUGCUUAAAAGGUGCAAUUGCAUCACUACCAGAUGGACCUGCGUUGUAUUAGCUAGUUGGUGGGGUAACGGCUCACCAAGGCGACGAUACAUAGCCGACCUGAGAGGGUGAUCGGCCACACUGGGACUGAGACACGGCCCAGACUCCUACGGGAGGCAGCAGUAGGGAAUCUUCGGCAAUGGACGGAAGUCUGACCGAGCAACGCCGCGUGAGUGAAGAAGGUUUUCGGAUCGUAAAGAUCUGUUGUAAGAGAAGAACGAGUGUGAGAGUGGAAAGUUCACACUGUGACGGUAUCUUACCAGAAAGGGACGGCUAACUACGUG